GCAUCAUUCAAAUAUCUGCCCUAUCAACUUUCGAUGGUAGGAUAGUGGCCUACCAUGGUUUCAACGGGUAACGGGGAAUAAGGGUUCGAUUCCGGAGAGGGAGCCUGAGAAACGGUACCACAUCCAAGGAAGGCAGCAGGCGCGCAAAUUACCCAAUCCCGACCGGGGAGGUAGUGACAAUAAAUACUGAUACAGGGCUCUUUUGGGUCUUGUAAUUGGAAUGAGAACAAUCUAAAUCCCUUAACGAGGAACAAUUGGAGGGCAAGUCUGGUGCCAGCAAGCCGGGUAAUUCCAGCUCCAAUAGCGUAUAUUAAAGUUGUUGCAGUUAAAAAGCUCGUAGUUG
rnacentral:rRNA from 1 species